UGUGAACAUUCUUAUCUCUGGUAUCAUUAGAGAAAUGUCUAAUAGUGAAUCAGAUUUAGAAGAUAUGUCUUAUACACCGCCAGACAUUUUAAAAUUAGCGGCUAGCGCUACAGAAAAUCUCCUACCUAACAAGUCAAAAGGUAACCUUAAUUAUGGGGCUAAUGGGAGCGUGCCGAUCUAAUGAAUAUAUUCUAUGAAAACUGAAGAUAUAGAAGAUUACAAUCGAGCUCUUACCUUUCACAAAAACAAAGAUUCCUAGAUCAUUUACUGUAUCAGGUGAAUUUUACGAUAUUUGCAAAAAGUAUAUAAAUCUUCGCUCAUCUCAAGCUAAAUGCCCAUUAUUAUUUUUAAAUUAUCAAAAUGACAAAUGUACUAUUCAAAGAGUAGGCAUUAACAAAUUAUCUUCUAUAGGAAAGCACAUUGCUAUGUUUUUAAAAUUAAAAAAUCCCGAAUUAUACACGGGACAUUCGUUCCAAAGAUCAUCUGCAACCAUUUGCGUUAGCACAGGAGGUGACAUUACAGCAGUAAAGCAGUUAGGGGGAUGGAAAUCAACCACAGUUGCCGAAGGUUAUAUAGAUGACAACAUAACCAAUAAAAUAAAAAGAGGAAAUCAGAUUUCAAACAAAAUUAACAAACAUUAUACUAGCCCUAAUUACAAUGAAAAACCUUGUACUAGCUCUAGUGCCAGUCCAAGUCCCAUGAUUUUCAAUCAGACUCAGAUGAUUAACAAAGUUAUCUCUGGCAUGAAUUUUAACAAUUGUAAUGUAACUAUUAAUAAUUAUUAUGUAAGUAAAUAAACAUAAAUUUCCUGUGAAUUAAUAACGUUACCAUAUCAUAGCUUGGCAUACCCUGUCAAGGAUAUGCAGACGACAUAGUCAUCUAUGCAAAAGGAUACUUAGAGAAUAUACUCUGUGCCAUAGUUCAAAGAGGACUCAAAUAUACAAAAAGGUGGUAUCGAUCGGUAGUGCUAAAUGUCAAUCCGAACAAGACCUAGCUAAUUUCCUUCACUAGAAAGAAAAAACUCAACCUCAAGCCCAUCAAGCUAGACGGGCAAGUAUUCAAGUGGAAAAUAGAGAGAAAUAUCUGGGACUCACACUUUUUGAAAGGAGUGGGAUUAAUUGAUCAGACUAGGUCCUGCAGAACCGCAGCAAGGAAGGGAGACACAAUAGAUCCUUUGGGUCGCAGUGUAUACGAGACCUCAAAUUCAUACCCUACAUACAUAGGUAUGUGAGGCAAUGGUAGAUUUUGCAUAAAAUCAAAUGUUAAAGCUACUACAUCAUCUUAUUCCUUACAAAGAUCUUAAUUGAUGAAAUUUUGUUGUAAAACUUCUUGUCACGUUUUUUAUGGAUUAAUAACUAAGCUUCUACCGAACCUGUUGCAUUUUUUUUUAAAUUUUUGUUGAUAGUUCUUCGCAAGUUAGCAAGUUAUACGCGUGUCGACCAAAUCUGAGGGAAAAGUUUUCAUUAAAGUAUUGUAAGUCAAAUUUGUACUUUACACCGAGAUCUGGAUAUUUUUCGUUAAACAUUGAAUGAAUUUUUUUAACAUCCAAUCAUGCAUCAAGAUAUUCAAUAUUUUUUCUUGUAUAAUGUGCCUUUUUCCUAGGAGAGCAGAGGAUGUAUAUUUUUUGGUAUAUUUCAGGAGGCACUGUAUUAGAUAGACAGAUGCUCUCUUGCAAACUUUAACUUUAUCAGUUUGUUUUAAAACAUAGAAUUGAAAAGCAUUUUGCCUCUGUGUACCAUUUUCUUUUCGAGGACGCCUCUGUUUUAUUUCUAACUUAUCAAUAAGUGUUUGAAGAAAUGUAUCCUGUUCAUUCUUUGUUAAAAAAAGUUUAUUUUUGAAAUGUAAAAGACCAUAUCUUCUUGGUCCAAAUUCACAUUCUUACAUCUGCAAUAAAUAAGAGAUAUAUUAGGUUUAUAUAGGCCUCAAUAAAGAAAAACUUAAAUUGAAUAAGUUAUGGUAAAGUAAAGUUCAUGGUAAACUUGCCUACAAUUUUCACCUGUAAAUCUCGGAGCUAUAUGUUAUCCUCGAUAAUUAGUAUAUGUCUGUCCUUUAACUUUAUAAUUUAUUAUAACAUUCCUUUAUACUUUGCAGUUUCAUUUAAAUACAUUUAAUCUAAAAUUACUUUUCGCACAAAAUAACUUAGUAAAAGACGUAUAUGACAUUAAUGGCGAUGGUUUACGAAAAAUUGUUGAACCAAUCAAAACAAAGCAACUUUAAAAACGUCCAGCUGUCAUAAACUCUGCUGCCAUCUAGUGGUGCAUCCAAAAACCUCUUAUGUCACACUAAUGUUUAUGCAAUGAAUGUAUUUCACGCGGUAUUAUUGAAAGAGGAAGGAAUAUAUUGACUUACAGGGUUUUUAUCCAGAAUACGCAUCUCUAUUUAAGAAACUAUUUCCAGUAAAAAAAGCAUUUUAGAAAAAACAAGUGACUUAAGAGGUUUUUGAAAUGACAGAUUUAAUUGUAUUUAGAGAGCACUUAUAUUAGAAAUGGUGGAGGUCUCCUAUCGCGUGACUCAAUUUACAAUUUUUUGAACACAUAUUUUCUACAAGCUAUCUUCUUCUAUCAAUAGAAACCAAACAACAAAAUAAGAUUCAUUUUCACACGACCAAAUACAAAAUAUACGUAAUAGCUUUUAUAAAUUGAUAGUAGUGAUCGUAAAAAGAGAAUUUAACGCGAGCUUUAACUAUUCAUUUUAUUUUACAUCGGUAAGUACGAAUAUCAUCAACUUGUAAGCUUUGUAGAAUUUUCAAAAUUGCAUCAAACAAAUGCCUGAUUAUACUUGUAACUAUUUUCAGAAAAUGGCUGGAAAACACUUCAUUUCACGAACGUUUGAUAUGAAUUUGAUUGAGCAGUUUGAGAUGGAAAAGAAGCAACGGAAGACCUUUUCAACCUCUUUCAUUUGUUCAGGAGAGAGUGGCAACUGCGCUGAAAAUAUCUGUAAAAAUGGUAUGUUCUGUUAAGAAAGGAAGGUAAAAAUUCCAACUUUCCCAACAACACUCAGUCGGAGACCUCAAUUAAAACUAAAAACAGAGGAUGUACCCGAGGGAACCAAAAUGGCGGUACGGAAUACCUUAUAAAACUUACAAAAUGAAAGCGUACGUAAACCAGGAGGUAGAGACUUGUAGAAAAUGCCAGUUUUAUGUUUUCCUUUAAGUCAUCGUCGUGAGAUUAGCACGGUGAAAUAUUUACAAAAUGGAUUACAAUACAGUUAACUCCUAAUUAAAGAGGACCAUUGUUAAUAGUAAUGGAUAAUGCGCUACUUGGUUAAAAGCCUUCAAUGUUGAGUUUCAUGAAAAUCUUUCAAGACCACGAAGUAUAGAUAUGUGUUACAUAAUAUAGCAUUAGAUGGCUAGUGUAUGGUCUCCUAUAUCAACUACAUACACAUGACCACUAGGUGGCAGCAGAACGUCAAGUAGAAACGUCAGUGGCACUUCUCCGCUUAUCUUUGAUCUUGUAAAUGAUAUAUGUUUCAUUAACAAAAUAGUAUUUAAAAA